UACGAAGGGGGCUAGCGUUGCUCGGAAUUACUGGGCGUAAAGCGCACGUAGGCGGCUUUCUAAGUCGGGGGUGAAAUCCUGGAGCUCAACUCCAGAACUGCCUUCGAUACUGGAAAGCUCGAGUCCGGGAGAGGUGAGUGGAACUGCGAGUGUAGAGGUGAAAUUCGUAGAUAUUCGGAAGAACACCAGUGGCGAAGGCGACACACUGGCCCAUUACUGACGCUGAGGCUCGAAAGCGUGGGGAGCAAACAGG
rnacentral:rRNA from 1 species